AUACGGAGGGAGCAAGCGUUAUUCGGAAUCACUGGGCGUAAAGGACGCGUAGGCGGGUUUGUAAGUCAGGUGUGAAAUCCUACAGCUCAACUGUAGAACUGCACUUGAAACUACAGACCUAGAGUAUGGAAGGGGCAGAUGGAAUUAGUGGUGUAGGGGUAAAAUCCGUAGAUAUCUCUAGGAAUACCGAAAGCGAAGGCGAUCUGCUGGGACAUUACUGACGCUGAGGCGUGAAAGCGUGGGGAGCAAACAGGAUUAGAAACCCGAGUAGUCC
rnacentral:rRNA from 1 species